rnacentral:lncRNA from 1 species
AGGGAGGGAAGGAAGGAAUGGAUCAUCUGCUGCAUGUAAACUCCCCUGAUCUUCCCAGGCACGACUGAAGGAUUUGUGCUUUCACAAAGCUUUGCAUAGACCUGAGUCUGAUUGUGCAUUCUCUUCAGUCAGUCACUGUGAGUUUCUGCAUGCAGGAAUUCCUGGGCAAGAAAGCCACCAACUCCUGCUGAAUCUUGGAUAGAAUGUUUUCUCCAGUGAGUAGGAGCAACUGGGUAAGUUUAGUUCCUUUAUCACGUGACCUGCUUAUAUUUAUCUACACUGGCAAGAAACACUUGAACUCUUACCACUAGCCAGAGACUAAGUUUCAUAGAUAUUCUAAGUAUCUAAUUUAAUCCUUUUGACAGUCAGAAGAAGGAGGUUCUAACAGUAUCCAUAUUUUACAAUAAGUAAACUAAGUCAUGGGGCUAAUAGACUGAAGGUCACAUACUAAUUAGGUGGUUUACUUUGUUUUUGUUUUCGUGUUUUGAGACAGGGUUUUACUCUGUUGCUCAGACUGGAGUACAGUAGCAUGAUCUCAGCUCACUGUAAACUCUGCCUCCCGGGUUCAAGCUAUUCUGCCUCAGCUUCCUGAGUAGCUUGGAUUGCAUGUCCCAGCCUGUCUCUUCCUAUCUGGAAGCUUCCUUGCAUCCCAGCCUCACCAACCAAGUCUCCGAGUCCCGGUUGAGAAGCCUCAUUUGGGUGGCGAUAAGAAAAUCAGACCUACAAUCAAACAAAAACCCUUUGCCUUCUGAGAAGUUUCAGGCAGGAGCAGAGAGAGUGUUUUAA